rnacentral:rRNA from 1 species
GACGAACGCUGGCGGCGUGCUUGACACAUGCAAGUCGAACGGAAAUGCCCCGCGUUGGCAGUGGCCUACAGCUGCGAAAGGCGGAGUAACCUGUGCGUCACCUGCCCUUGACACCGGGAUAACUUCAGGAAUCCCGCGUUAACACCGCAUAGGAACGCCUGCUGCAAGGUGCGGAUUGGAAACUCUCGGAGGUUGGGGGUGGACUCGCGGCUUAUCAGCUUGGUGGUGGGGUAGUGGCCUGCCAAGGCUUUGACGGGUAGCCGGCCUGAGAGGGGGACCGGCCACGUUGGGAUGGAGAUACGGCCCGGACCCCUACGGGAGGCAGCAGUGCGGAAUGGUGCACAAUGGGCGGAAGGCUGGUGCAGCAGCGCCGCGUGGGGGAUGACGGGCUUGGGGUUGUAUUCCGCUUCCGCCUGGGACGAAGCGAGAGUGACGGUAAUGGGUAAAGAAGCACCGGCUAACUACGUG